rnacentral:rRNA from 1 species
ACUCAAAUGAAUUGACGGGGGCCCGCACAAGCGGUGGAGCAUGUGGUUUAAUUCGACGCAACGCGAAGAACCUUACCAGGUCUUGACAUCGCGGCGCAAGGCCAAGAGAUUGGCCCCUCCCUUCGGGGACGCCGUGACAGGUGGUGCAUGGUUGUCGUCAGCUCGUGUCGUGAGAUGUUGGGUUAAGUCCCGCAACGAGCGCAACCCUUGUUAUUAGUUGCCAGCAAGCAAGAUGGGCACUCUAAUGAGACUGCCGGUGACAAACCGGAGGAAGGUGGGGAUGACGUCAAAUCAUCAUGCCCUUUAUGACCUGGGCUACACACGUGCUACAAUGGCCUGCACAAAGGGAGGCGAAGGGGCGACCCGGAGCAAAUCCCAUAAAACAGGUCUCAGUUCGGAUUGCAGGCUGCAACUCGCCUGCAUGAAGUCGGAAUCGCUAGUAAUCGCAAAUCAGCACGUUGCGGUGAAUACGUUCCCGGGCCUUGUACACACCGCCCGU